rnacentral:lncRNA from 1 species
AUUUUUCUUGUAUGUAUAUGUUGCCAAUACAUACACAAUAACGCCUAUUAAUAUUAAAAAUAUAGGCAAACAAUCCAGUGCACAAAGCCUAACAAACUGGACAAUAUAGAUACGUAACUAUAUCAAGAACUAAAUGAAGUAGUGGCUAUAACGGAGCUAUUGAUCAAAAUCUGCAAGAAAUAUCAAUAAAAACCAAAACAUGUCGGAUAUCGGUAUUCUUUCAGGAGUAUAUACAUAGAUGAACCAUAUAAAAUCUACCACUAGCAAAACCAAUUUGGUAUAUGUUGUUUAUAGACAUAGGAGCAUAUUUUUAUAAACCAUGAAUGCUUUUUAUUAGAAUUCUCAUAUAACAAAGCUUUAUUAAAGCUCUCGAUAUAAUCCCAAUAAUUAAAUCUGACCGCAAUUUUUUGCUCUGGAUGGGUAUAUUCCCUUUCCUUCAUUUGUGAUUAUUCCCCAUUCUUCUGGGGUGAAUAUCUUUUUUAUAAUGAAUUUUGAAAAGUUAUAAACCUUUUUAGUAUUGGCUGGGUAAAAGUGCUAGAAUUCAGCAGACUCAAUGGAUGAGAGUAUUAUCUCAUAAUGCAUUCUGUACUUAUAAGUUGGGACAGCAAAUGAUGUUGUAUCAAAAUAUCUGGUCAUAAUCUGACAUGGAUCGUCUUUCCAUUGUAAAUCUAUUGGCUCAAGAAGAAGUAUUACUUCAUCUUUUUCAUUUUUAUCAAAUACUUCAAUAUUUUCAUUUCCUUCGUCAGCAACGGCUGAAGAAUAAGAUGGUGGGUUAUUACCCUGAACUUGUCUGGAUUGUAUAAAAUUCAUGAAUUCCUUGUACAUCGGAUGUUCAGUAUUAAUUUCUGAUGUCCCUGUGUAUGCUUCUGCAAUGUUUGAAGCUAUUAGCUUUUGGUUUCCUAUUUGAGCCAGGAUAUUAUUUCUUCCCAUAGGUGCUUUUCCUCUUCCUCUUCCUCUAUUAGAAGAAGAACUUCCAAACGGCCGCAUCACUCCUGCUAUUAAGAGACAAAGAGUUAUUAACUUAAAUAUUCUCUAGUAAGAAAAUCGGGAAGACUAUUAUCUGUUCCCUUUUUAUAAUAUAUUUCAAAAUCAAAUGGUGCUAAUAAUUAAGCUUGCCAUCUUUCAAACAUUUGUUUAGAAACAUCAUGUUUUACAUCUUCAUUAAAGAUGAAUUUUGUUGCUUGGCAAUCAGUUUUUAUGAUAAACUUUUGAUUAUAUAAGUCCCCUUGGAAUUUUAAAACACUUUUGACUAUAGCCAAAAUUUCUUUACCUACAGUAGCAUAAUUUUUCUAACUAUUAUUCCAUUUCCCAGAAUAGAACUGUAUAAGGUAUUCUUGCCUUUCAGCAGGAGAAAUUUGUUUUAAAAUUCCCCCUAGCCAAUAUAAGAGGCAUCUGUUUCUACUAUCUUUUGCCAAUUCGGAUUGGCCAAAGUGAGACAUGAUAGGUUAUUAACCUUUGACUUAAUGUGCUUGACUGCUUUAGUAUGAUUAUCAGUACAAGCUUUAGGACUUUUUUUGAGUCUAACAUAUAAUAUAGCCGUGUCUUUAGCUAGAUCCUUUAUAAAAGGAGAAAUAUAAUUUAAGCUUCCCAAGAAUCGUUGGAGCUGAGUUUUAUCAGUAAUAACAUCAGGAAUUUAGAGGCAAACUCAAUACUUCUUUGAAUGGGAAUAAUUUUUCCUUUUUCAAUAUUAUGACCUAAGAAUCUAACCUUGGUUUGGAAAAUAUGCAUUUUUGGUCUAGAUAUAAUCAAACCAUUUUGAAUAAUAAUUUUCUUAAAUAGAUCCAGAUGUUUAAAAUGCAUUUCUAAGGUUUUUGAAAAUACUAAAUAUCAUCGAUAUAUACAAUGAUAAAAUUGCUAAAAGGGUUAAAAAUAUCAUUCAUGAUUUUUUGAAAUUCGGAAGGGGCAUUUUUUAACCCAAAAGGCAUAACAUUCCAUUCAUAUUGUCCCAAUGGGACGUUAAAGGCUGUUUUAUAUUUAUCUUCUUCAGAAAUUUGAAUUUACCAAUAACCUGAUUUCAGAUCAAAUUUUGAAAAUACGAUAGCUUCAUGAAGUCUAUCUAAUAAAUCAUUUUUAUUGGGAAUAGGAUAUCUAAUUUAUUUUAAAACUUUAUUUAAGGGUUUAUAAUUUAAGACAAGUCUGGGUACCCCUCUUUCUUGCUUUGCUUGUUUAUUAACAUAGAAAGCAGUACAAGACCAUGGAGAUUUUGAGGGACUUAUUAAUCCUUUUUGAAGAAGAGUAUCAAUCUCUUUUUUACAUAAAUCCAAAUAUUUUGAGUUCAUUUGGUUAGGUAUUGCCUUAGUGGGAAAAUUAUCUUCAGAAAAUUCUUCCUCAUAAGGAAGACUUACCACAUGUUUUUUCCUUUCCCAAAACACAUUCGGGUGAUCUCCACAUAUUUGUAGGGAGAAUCGAUUCUUUAAAAUAUCAAUUUUUCCUUGGACUUUAGGAUUUUGUAAAGUCUCUUCUAUAGUAAGACUACAAAUCUCAUUUUUAAGAAAAUCAAUUUGUUUAUUUUUUAAAGAAAUCAUAUCUUUAACUUCAUUAAAGAAUUUUCAAAAUGGUUGAGAUAUAAAAUCUGUUCUUAUUUUUCUUUCUUCAAAAGUACCAGUUAUUCCAGUCUCAUCCCAGAGAGUUAUGGGAUAAAUAUGCCAAAAAAAAGGCAUUCCUAAAAUGAUUUCGUUAGAAAUAUAUUCUAUUGCAACAAAACUUCCAGGCAUACAUAUAUUAUUUGUACAUAUAUAUGUUUUAGGAAUUUUAUAUUCAAUAUCCAUUUUAUGACCGCUAGCAUUUCGAAGACUAUGUUUAGUCUUCUUAAAAUAUCUUGAUGGAAUUAAUCCUUCUUGAAUACAAUUUAAAUCAGCUCCACUAUCAAUAAGAGCAAUAAAAAAAAAUUAAGUUAUAAUCAAUAAAAAGAGUUAUUUUUGCCACAGGUUUAUGAGCUGUAAUUAGCUCGAUAGUUUCUAAAAAUAAAUUCUUAUUAUUUGUAGACUCAUUAGGGAUACCAGGAAGAUUAUCUUCAGGAAUAUCAAUGUCACGCCCCAAGCUACCCCUGAGACGCGGACACGGGACCUAGGACCACAAGUGAUCCCAAGCUAACCCUGCUGGCAUGAUCAUGAGCAUACUAAAGAUAAUAAACUAAUGCGGAAGCUAAAAUCAUAAAUAAAAUGAAAAGAUGGGGAAUACCCAUAUACUAUAACUGAGAUAAAUGAAAACUGAUGAGUUUAAUACAAAGAAGAUAUUAACUCAAUACUAAGCUGAAUCUAACUAUGUCUGAAAUAAGCCUCUAAACUGACUAGAAGUGUUGGGACAUGCCCCAACUAAGUCUAGAAAAUCUGAAACUAAAAGACUGAAAACUGAAAGAUGACAUGACUAUUGUCCUCGAAGAAUGAGGACUCACCACUGAUGCUGCUGAACUGGAGAUCGGGAACCGAUCUAAGCGUGAUCUGGAUGCUGGGAACCUGAACCUACAUCACGAGAAGAUGUAGUGCAUGUAUGCGUCAGUACUUGAAAAGUACUGAGCAUGCAUGAUAGAGUAAAGCUGAAAGAACAUAUAACUGAACAAAGCAAUAAAGCAAUGAAAUAAUCUGAACAUGAUAUAGAUACUGAAAAUACUGAAUACUGAGCUAAGUGAAUGCAAUGACCAAUUUAUAACAUGUUGGCUGAUAAUACUGACUGUACUGAAAUAUGGUCAAUGCAAUAGAGUCUGACUGAACUGUGGGAGCUACUNNNNNNNNNNNNNNNNNNNNNNNNNNNNNNNNNNNNNNNNNNNNNNNNNNNNNNNNNNNNNNNNNNNNNNNNNNNNNNNNNNNNNNNNNNNNNNNNNNNNNNNNNNNNNNNNNNNNNNNNNNNNNNNNNNNNNNNNNNNNNNNNNNNNNNNNNNNNNNNNNNNNNNNNNNNNNNNNNNNNNNNNNNNNNNNNNNNNNNNNNNNNNNNNNNNNNNNNNNNNNNNNNNNNNNNNNNNNNNNNNNNNNNNNNNNNNNNNNNNNNNNNNNNNNNNNNNNNNNNNNNNNNNNNNNNNNNNNNNNNNNNNNNNNNNNNNNNNNNNNNNNNNNNNNNNNNNNNNNNNNNNNNNNNNNNNNNNNNNNNNNNNNNNNNNNNNNNNNNNNNNNNNNNNNNNNNNNNNNNNNNNNNNNNNNNNNNNNNNNNNNNNNNNNNNNNNNNNNNNNNNNNNNNNNNNNNNNNNNNNNNNNNNNNNNNNNNNNNNNNNNNNNNNNNNNNNNNNNNNNNNNNNNNNNNNNNNNNNNNNNNNNNNNNNNNNNNNNNNNNNNNNNNNNNNNNNNNNNNNNNNNNNNNNNNNNNNNNNNNNNNNNNNNNNNNNNNNNNNNNNNNNNNNNNNNNNNNNNNNNNNNNNNNNNNNNNNNNNNNNNNNNNNNNNNNNNNNNNNNNNNNNNNNNNNNNNNNNNNNNNNNNNNNNNNNNNNNNNNNNNNNNNNNNNNNNNNNNNNNNNNNNNNNNNNNNNNNNNNNNNNNNNNNNNNNNNNNNNNNNNNNNNNNNNNNNNNNNNNNNNNNNNNNNNNNNNNNNNNNNNNNNNNNNNNNNNNNNNNNNNNNNNNNNNNNNNNNNNNNNNNNNNNNNNNNNNNNNNNNNNNNNNNNNNNNNNNNNNNNNNNNNNNNNNNNNNNNNNNNNNNNNNNNNNNNNNNNNNNNNNNNNNNNNNNNNNNNNNNNNNNNNNNNNNNNNNNNAUAAUUCAAUUAUCUAUCAUAUAAUAGGUCAUGGGACACACAAUUACUUUUGUGCUAAAAGUUAUGACCAUCUGAAGUUGACCCAUCAAUAGUUUUCAGCUAACUAGCUGCUGACCCUCAUCUACGGUCAGACCUACGGACCGUGGAUCGAAUGAUGGUCCGUGCUGGUCGACCAUAGUUCAUGUCGAUCCAUGGUCACAGACCACGGACUGUGGUCUGAUCUACGGACCGUGAGUCGGGACUUAGCUAAUUUUUCUGAGCUGGUUUGGGGAGGGGUUGCAGUGGUGAACCACGGACCACCAGCACGGGCCGUGGUCUGACCUACAGUCCGUGGAUGGUGACCGUAAGUUGCACCUGCAACUUCUCAAAAUCUGCAUUUUUGGUCUGUUUCGGAUACGAGGUGUUACAAUCAGGAGGAUUACCUUCAACCAUAACAUGUUUCCCAUGAUGAUUAUUGUCUUCAUUUUCUAUAUAAGUGAUUCUCUCAUCAAGAAUCAUAUUAUGAUUUUUGAGAGAAGAUAUUUCUUUUUUAAGAUUAUUAAUCUACUCAACCAAGUCUUGAAUUGUAGUAGGAAUAUGAUCCCUUUGAGACCUAAGUUUUAGCUGUCUCUUUACUUCUCCCAUGGUAUAAGCAUUAUUAUGAGCGGGAUUUUCUUUCGGAAUCCUAGUAUUACUAGUAGAGGUUUCUUGUAUUACCAAUUUUUUCAAUAAUUUGGGACCUUAACGUUGGAUCAUCAAUCAUCCUGAGCAUCUCUACCCAAUUAUCAUUACUUAUAACAUUGAUAUUUAAGUCCUUGAACUGAGAAUACAACUGAUAGAAUUCGUCCUUAUCUUUAUUAUCACAAGGUUGGCCAAUCUAGCAAGACGUACAUUCUUCCUCAGAUGAGGACAUGUAGUCUUCUUCAUGAAGAACCUUUAGAUCUUCACUUGUAGAGGAUUUCUCUCCGUCACUAUUGUUAGGGCUUGAAUUUUCCGAAGAAGAAUUGAGGAGGAUUUUAUAUAAAGAAUCCUUAAUAUUAUCCUCUAGGUCAAGACUUUUAAUCUUAUCCUUGACCUUGCAAUCCCUUGCAUAAUGACCUAUUAUACCAUAUUUGUGGCAGGCAUUUGAUUUAUUAUUCUUAUAAAACUCCUUUUUCCCUUUAUAAUCUUUUUUUUUCACGUUUGUCUAAGCGUUUCUUUUUUCUGUACUGCCUAUGGGGCUUUUCCUUAUAAUCUCUUUUUCCUCGAUGCCUAUUAGACUUCUUAGAGGAUUCGGGCAUAUCGAUUGCGAAUUGUUCACAAAAUUCCCCUAAUUGUUAUUUCUCAUUCAAAUGAUAUAUUUUAAUUUAUUGAUUCAACUUGAUCUCGUUGCACAAUGAGAGACCUUCUUGGGUGCAAACACUUAUAAGUUUUCCAUAAGUAUAGUCAUCAUAAUUAAUACUCACCCAUCUUCUCUAAGGGUUUUCCUAACCCUUUCUGCAAAUAAAGCAGGGAGUCCGUCUAUAAACUUGGAUUUCCAAUGAGAGUUAUUACACUCAGGUAAUUCCAUAACUCUAGAUAGAAAAACAUCAUUGUACCAUCUAAAGGACGUAAGAGUUUUACAUCUAAGGUUUUGGAGCAUAGUCCUAAUGGUUUCACUAUUAUCCGACCAUCUUCCAGAAAAAUGUUCUAUAAUGGUUAGGAUCAAGUUGUAGACUACAUUUGGAAUCAUUCCAUUUUCAUCCUUAACAGCAUUUAAAAUGGCCAUACGUUGGGAUUCUGAGAGCUAAUUAUCCCACCAACCCUUUAAUUGGCCUGUAAAUCCGACAAUAAUCAUGUUGGUUGUAUCCUUUCCAGAAUUCUUGUUUGCCUUGCAGAUCGUACUAUACAUAAAAAUUCUAUGAGCCAGGGUAUAAAUUGGCCUAUCAGUAAAACCAUCAAUAUUCCACUCAUAAAUUUCUAUCCUGCUAAAACUAUUGGAGACGUAAUAUUCUUGCUCUUCCAAGAGAAUAUCUUGAGGAGUCGGCCUAGGAUAGUAAUACAUCCUUUCAACCGGUUUUUUAGCAUGUUUCUCCGAGAUUUUAUUAAUCUCAUAUGGAAUAUUAUUCCUAUCACUGAUAUCACUUUCACUUAGUUGGAGGGGAUUAAUAUUUAACCCCUGAAACCUUUCUUGAAGCAAUCUUUCGAUAUUAUCAAGCUUUGAUAAUUUAAAGUCUUUAAUUUCUAAAGGGGGUUGGAUAGUAGGAGUAGCCUUCUCCUUUCCUUUAACAGGGAUUUUAGACUUCUCUAAUUCAGAAUAUAAAUGACUAAUUUUAUCAUGUAAAGAAAGAAUAUGCUCUCCUAAAAUGCUCACAUAAACAUUUGUGUAAUUAUUUUGUCGUAUUAAAGUUUUGACAUGCUUAAAAGUAAUAAGAGCAGUGUCAUUAUCAUCAAACAACUCUGCAAAUGCAGUAAAAUAUACAAUCUUAUUAUCUUUUUCAAUUUGAAAAGAUUGCUGAGGAGGUAGGAGAGAUUUGGUAAUUGUACCAUCAGAUAAUUUAUAAUCUUGUUCUAACAUAGAAAUAUAGUUAUAAACAUAUUUCGUCAUAAACCAUGGUACAAAAGCAAUAGCUUUAUUUGCUUUAGAAAGAUCAUUAUAAAAAUCUUCUUGGAAGAAUGUUUGUUGAUUAUUAUCAAAAAAUUUGAAAAACCAUUUUCUAAAUGAUUCCCAUUUGGGCUGGAAAAAUUCAGUUGAAAUUUGCUUUCUUACUGGCGACCCCGAUCUAAAAUCAAUAAGUUCUGAUCUAUUCAUGUAAACCAUUUGGAAAGUCCAUUUCAGACAAAGUAGGGUCCAUAUCAGGAGUAAUUAUAUGAUUUUCAAUCUUGAUAUUAUCAACUCUCUUUCCUUCUUUCAUAUAAGAAGUGGAUACUCUAAAAUUAUCUUCUUCUCUAAUCUGAGAAGUAGACGCUCUAGAAGGCAUAUCAACAAUAUAAUCAACAGGAGAUAUAUAAGAUGAGUUAGAUCUAAGCAUCCUUGAAGGAAAACCUAAAUUAUCAGCAUAACUCAUUAAUAAAUUUUGGUCAGUGAAUUUGAUCCUCACUAUCCCAUCAAGAGUUUGCUCAAUAUCAGAAAUAUCAGGAUUUAUAUUAGUUUUAGGUGGGACUGUCUCUUCGAUCACCCAUUCCUUAGGAAAAUCAAUUUCAUCCCAUUUAAUAGGUCUUCUAGUUAUAACUUUAGACUUACUAAAAUUUGUUUCUAUCAAAAUUGUUUCAUUUUUAAAAUUCAUAAUUUUACACAUAGGAUUUAAAGUAUAUAAUGGCUUUUAAAAAUGAAACAAUUUUGAUAGAAACAAAUUUUAAGCAGAUAGACCCUUGACUUAAGCAGAUCAAGAAAAGGGAAGAUUUACAGAACCGUGACAACAAAUCCAAAAAAGAUCUUACUUUUUCAUAAAAUUCAUAUCUUUAUAAAUUAAUUUUCAUAAACACAAAGCAUGUUAAAGAAGAUUACCGCAAAAUGUCGGCACAACUGGGGCAGAACCUGAUGAUCAGAAAGCACAGUCAAAGAAAACUUUUGGAUGAAUCAAACUACAUUGAUAAGAUUUAUCAUCUAUGUAUAAAAGUUUCAACCAAAAGGGAAACACACAUAUACAUAUAUUUAAUCAAGAGAAAAAAACUAGAGAAUUUUGGGAGAUUAAUUUCACACCUGCGAUUUGUCCUCACAGCAAUUCUAAAGCUUCUUGUACUUGUUACUUCACCAAAACAUUUCUUUUAGGGCAUUUCAUCAAUAUUUAAGGAGAUAAACAUAUCAAGAUUACUGCAAUCUAAAAUUUUUAACAAUAAGUAUAAUACAAACAAAAAGUUUAAAAUGUACUGAGUUGUGCUACCUUACCCUUCCAAAACACAGAAAAUUGUUUUGAGGUUUCAAAGUCGAAGAGGGAGUGAUCGAAGUGAUGAAAAGGAAAAGGUUCCAAAGCUCCAUUCUUUAUUUUUUUUCCUUAUUUGUAGAGACCAAUUGCUUUCAUAUUUGAUGGCCAAGUCGAGUAAGAUACUCCCUAAUUAAGACGACUUCGUAUCUACGAGAGAUAAAUUUGCUCUACCUUUUUUUAUGAAUACAGCGUAUAGAUAGACAGUAUACCAUACAUCAUCAAUUUGAAGGACAAACCUACAAACAAAAAAAAGUAGGAUAUGAGAACCUAUAGAUAUUAUGAAAAGGUAGGAUAAGAAAAUUAUUAGAUAAUUUAUUUUUUUGGUCGAACGAACACAUUUUAUUCAAAAACAUCCAGAGUAUCAUUACAACAUCUCAUACAACUAGUCUCAAACUGAUCAAAAACCUAUACAAUUCAUCUUGUUUAGUUUGAUAUUUUCCCUGUAUUGAAUGCCUAUCGUUUGCACACAAGUUUGUGAAAAUAAAUGUUCUAUUUUUUCAGGAUGAUCACCACAUAACAAGCAUAAUGUAUCCUGGCACAUAUGGAUGCAUAAUCUUUUAACUGAAAUUGGAUUGAAACACCAUACACCAUCAAACCUUUGGUGUGAUAAUCAUGUUGUUCUUCAUAUUGCAUCGAAUUCGGUGUAUCAUGAAAGAGCUAAACAUAUUGAGGUUGACUGUCAUUUCAUUCAUUAUAAGAUUCAGGAAAACUUGAUUUCCACCGGCUAUGUGAAGACCGGAGAGCAACUAGCUGAUUUGUUCACAAAAGCACUAAAUGGAGCUCGAGUUAAUUAUCUAUGUAACAAGUUGGGCAUGAUCAAUAUUGUUGGAAUGUAUGCGUCCACCAGUCACCAAGUGACCAGGUCCCUUCGACAGAAUAACAGUGCAGAAAGUAAAUAUCACAAUGUAAAACAGGCACAAGAGUUUUACGUGGAAACCUCUUUGCUCAAGGGAGUAAAACCACGACCUGUCACAUAGGAUUUCCAAACUUGUUUUCACUAAUCUUCUCAAGCAAAAGCAAAACACAGUUUACAACCACAACCGUGAGAUUAACACCCUAAUCCCACACUAAGUAAUACUCUUAUUACUUAAACGAGCCAAAGCAGAUACAACACUGCCCACUAAGCUAUCACCCCUAGAUAACUUAGACUUUGCUAAGCGGUUACCACACCGCCCACUAAAUCAACUAGCUCCUAGAUGACUUAGAAUUUGACUAAAGCAGCAAAAACAAUGUUGCCCACUAAAACCAGUUAAACUCAAACUGAUUUAGACUUUAGAAACCGAAACAAAUAUCUGAAUCCUUUAUAAACUAGGAACAAAUUUACAAUAUACGCACGGAAGUAUAACUCCUAAGACACACUCUGAUGCUUGCAGCUUGAUCAGGUCCUUGUUAUUCUUGCCGGAGAAUACUUCUUGAAAGUGAGUCUUUGCAAGUGUUCUUGAGAAUUUUCAAGUUGCAAAAACUGACAAAACUCAAACUCAACAAAGACGCUUCAGCACUCUAUCAGGUCCCUUUGUUGAGCAUGAGUAUUGUUCUUCCUUGAAGAUGGCCUUCUUUUAAAGCUUAUGAAUUUUCAAAAGAAAAUCCAAGUUUUUGUUUGCCAAGUCUUGAGUUUGUGUUUUGUGUUGAGAGAUUGUAUUAAAAUGAACACAAACUCCUUGGGACCUCCCAUUGGCUGAGAGCCUGCUGUUUAGAAAAGUUGUGCACCUACCACAUCAGAGGUGGCAGCUUUUCUGACAGGUGUCUUGUCACCUUUUCAUAUCGCAGUCUUGCAGGGACCAGGUCCCUUGCAAACUUUUCUUAAUGAGUUCUUGAGAAGACUUGCUGGUUCUCUUCCUUUUUGAAUGAAUGAAUUUAAUAUGUUGUUUGUCAUGUUGAAAAACCAACCAUAAAGAGUUAUUAACCGUUGGACAAACGACCUCUUCCAUUUUGAUUGGUUAAGUACGAUGUCAUCUCACCAACCACUAACAGACAGCUUUACAGUUGUAUCCCAUUAUGCAUCUGAUGGAGAGAACUCUGCAUGGAACCAGGUCCCUACAUUUGUGAGCCACUGAAACAAACAGUCUCGUUUGCUCUUCCUAUUGGUGCAGUACACUACAUUUUUCACCUAGCACCUGUCAUGAAAGCUUUACAGUUGUACCCCAUUUGAAUCUGGACGAGAGCACUCUGCCAGGGACCAGGUCCCUGCAUUUGUGAGGAUCAUCAAAAACACCUAGAAUAUAACAAAUAUCUAUCCUCCCGCUUGAGGGGUAGUGUUACAGAAUAUUGUAGGAUAUUGUAAAGAUAUUCUCUUACUUUAUAUAGCUAGCUAAAUCAUAAAAAGAUGUGUAGGAUAUUUACUUACCUUUGAUAGAACCUCUAGUGAUUGUAUAUUUACAUGUAUUUCUUAACAUAGUGAAAUACAAGUUCUUCUAUUCCCAUAUUUCAAAUAACACAAAAAGGAAUAUCUCCUAGAUGUAUGCUCAAGAUUGAUAUGCAAAAGGCAUACGACUUAGUAGAAUGGCCCUUUCUUGAACAAAUCCUUUCUAGCUUAAACUUCCCUACUAUUUUUGUGGAUGCGUAACUAAUGUUUCAUACGCUAUAAUCAUUAAUGGAAAAUUGUCUAAAUCAUUCCCUGCAAAGAAAGGUCUCCAGCAGGGUGAUCCUCUAUCUCCAUACUUGUUUGUGAUUUGUAUGGAAUAUCUUAAUAGACUGUUCAAAGGCCUCGGAUGUGAUCCUGAUUUUAACUUCCAUCCUAGGUGUGGGAAGUUGAAAACUGUCCAGUUAGGCUUUAGGAAUAUGAUCACAGUAAGAUUGAGCAGCAUCCGUUAGAAGAACAAUCUAUAACAUCAGAUGCUAUCACACUGCUGGUCCCUUGGUAUGCUCUUAAUGAUAUCCAAAUCACCUGAGUUCGAUAAAGAGAAUGGAAAAGGGUUAGAAAUGCCCUUAUAAACUAUGAGAGAUUGAACAAAAAUGUUCUCUGCUGCUGUUCAGUUUUGCAUAGUUUAACUGCAUUUUUUACCCUUUUCCAUAAAAAGAAACUACUUCAAACAUCAAAACAAAAAUCCACAUUCAUUCUACUAUUAUGAUUUAUUGAUCAGACCAUUACAUUUGUUAGUCAAUUGAUCUCAUCUAGCAAUGCUUAUUUUUUGUUGCAUUUCAUCUCACUGCUCAUUCUUAGAAACAAUAACAAACUAAAAACCUAGUCAUUAUGCUGGUGUUUAUGCAUUUUAAUAUUAAAAUUAAAAUAUUAUGUGCAUAUAUUAGUGGGUAUAAAUUGACAAGAAUGUGGUCAUUAUAGUGGUGUAACUCUUGUAACCACUAUUGUCAUGAUCUACCACUAACUCCACUCUUUAUUCUACCUCAUCAUACCUUGUAACUUAUGUAACCUUUGGGCUAUUCAUUUACCCAAUUUACUACCCAUUAUCUUCCUAUUCAUUGUAAGGAAGAAUUUAUCACCUAUAAAUAGUGAUGGUCUUCCUUUGUUAUGGGAGUAGAUAUGUACAUGUGAAAAAUUGGAAGAAAGAUGACAAGUGUAAAAGAUAUUGUAGUGUGUAGUAGUGAAAGAGAGAGUUGAGUAAAAAAAAAACUAUUCUAAGUCUUCAACUAUAUUCACUAUAUAAAAGAGAGUUAUUUUAUAUGUUGAAGGAAGGUGUUCUUAUGUGUAACUUUGGACUCUUCAACUAAUCCAGACUUGCUUGAGUUGUACGACGUUGUUGGGCUGUUGUAUCCUGAAGGGGACAAGUCAAGAGUGAUACUGCUGGAUCGGUGUAGAUUAUGUCGCAGUGGGCUUAAAUCUCCUUAAAGAGAACGAGAUAUCUGCGUCGCAUCCUAAAGAUUUGUUUAUUCAUUUUUGUCAUUUUAUUUUCAACUUUAAUUUAUUGCAUUUGUGGUAUAUUACACCAACACAUUCCGAAUGUCGUAACAUUAUAAGCCUUUGGCAGGCAACCAUAUCCAAAGGAGGCAUGAGUUUAAAAAACAAUUGAUUCAUUUUUUUUGGAAUUCUGUAUAAUUCAUAAUCGUUUUUCUUUGUUAAGUUCCCGAAGAUCAAACACCCGCAACAAGGAUGCAUAUCUCAUAGUCAGACAAAUGAUACUGCUGAUCUUGUAUAUAUCCUGCCAAUCAUGCACAUACACAUACACAAUGUGUAUGUAUAGAUACAGAUCUGGAGAGAUUCUUGAGAUUUUCUUUGCUGCAACCAUGGUGGUCUCUGGCCUGGUGGAAUGGAUUCAAAGAAACUUGGAAGAAACAAAUGCAUCGACGGUGGUAUGAAGUUUUCCCCUAUAUCUACUACUACAACAUACACAGUAUAGCCAUAGUAUUGCUCUUGUAUUUUCUUGUUCUUCGAUUUUUGUUACUAUUUGUUAAUACCUUGUACCUCGAUCAUCAUAUUGUUUUGUUGUAGUUUAUGUCAUGUGUUACUAUCUGUUGUUAUUGUUAUUAUCUAUUUUUCUUGUACUUCCAUUACUUUUUUUUCUGGACUGCUUUGGACUAUUUUUCCUUAAGCCAAGGGUCUAUCAGAAACAACCUCUCGACGUCUAAGGUAGGGGUAAGGUCUAUUUUUUUCUGGACUGCUUUGGACGCCAGUAAUUCAUCUCUUCAUCGUUACGAGAUAUUCUUUGAAACAUAAUAUCUUACUAUCUCAACAAAUGCCCUAAAGCAUUCAAUAAAUCUUCUGCAUUAGUUCAUGGCAGCUUUGGUUUUAGAUAUUGUAUUGCUGUUUGAUUCUCAUUCGAGAUAUCUUUUCACUUCGGUGUUGAUAACAAAGUGAUCUUCUGUCCUUUAUCCUUCCAGUCUUUGACCAUUGAUUUGAUUAUCCAACUUCAACAGGUCAUGGAUAUUGUUGUUUUAAAUUGAGUGAAAACCAAAAAAAAGAACAAAAGAGCACUUAUGAAUAUACAGGAAUAAAGAUAGUAAAAAGGGACUGAAGAACUAGAAAGAAGAGAGCUUGUGAAUUUGAAGUGGAAAGUUCAAUUUUAUUUCACUACAUUAGACUUACAUAUAUAAUUAGGAACUAACUUUAUGGACCUAAAGAUCAGCAACAAAUCUGCUGAAGAUAAAACAAACUCCUAAAGACUAGGUAAAGAAGUUAUUUGAGGAAAACUAAAGCUAAUUUACUGCAGUAAAUAAAUAAAAGGUUGCAGUCCUAAAAUAUAACUAACAAUAUAUAUAUCUUGACCAAUUUUCAGGCCAGCAAGCUUUUAGAGCCUCAAAAGUUGCUGAUGUAAGUUAAAAUCAUUGCUUAAUUACUCCAUUAUGUGUCUGCUCUCUGUAUGCCAAUCUUGCUUUGAUGAGGGAGAUGAUCAUCAUCAUGAGAAAUGAAUUCAAGUGAUGGAGACUGAAUGCAUUACUUGCUGAACUCUUUGGUUCCUCCGAGUAUUUUCACAUACUGUAAUUACUUACAGAUUCUCAACGCCUCGGGAAACUGGUCGAGAUAGAUGACAGCACCUUUUUUGCCUCUUCCUUAUCUAUAGGACAAUCUUCUAUUCUGGCCUUCACCUUCUGCACCAGAGAACUAGACUGCAAAGAAUGUAGACAGAGAUAGAAGGGAAAAGAAGUGAACAUUUAAGAACUAUCUUUGCCAAAUGAUUAUUUAGCUAGUCAGAUGACGAAAUGCUUUUAUUAGCAACUUCAACGCGAUCUUUUUUUUGUGAUGCUAUUGAUUUUUUGUUAGGUGAUGGAGGUCAAAGCUUGCAGUCAGAAAGAGAAAAGAAUUUUUAGUGAUCGUCACUCGAAAGCAAAGCCUUUUAAGAAAGUAGUUGGAGAUGGAAGUCAAUCACAAACACACACUUCAGCAUUGUACUUGGAUGUUGAAAAAGUGGAAGACAUACACCAGAAAGAAUUUCAAUGCUUGCUAUCCCCCAAGUUGACAUUUUAGAUUUAGAUAUAUAGAUAUAGAGUCGCCUGAAGAGUUUCCAAUGCUUGUGGUUGCUUUGCUUUUGAGUUGUCAUCCAAGCAGACUUAACCUGCAAUCAACAAGUGAAAUGGUUACAGUUUCAUGGAUUGUUUGAUGUAUACGAAGAAUUCGAGUUAGUGUACUUCUCAUGGAAGCAAACCUAUCCAUAGCCAAUUAAAAGAAGUAGAAGCCUACAAAUUUGAUCGAAAAAUCCUGUGGAACUCAAAAGUUGGAAGCUAGCACAAAGGAGCCUUUCAAAGAGGGUGAAAUUAUAUAAUUUUUUUAGAUUGGUGAUUAGUGAUAUAGUUAAUUACUCUCUUAAGUUUUGUAAUCUUUUGGUCAGGAUACAUUGUUUCUAACUAUCAUUUCACUGGUGUUGUUUAUUUAAGUCAAAAAAUUACCGAGCAGUAUCAAGAUUCCAAUAUAUUUUUGUAGAAAUGUGGAUUUGAAGGUUUGUGAUCAGAUAUAUCAAUUGUUUUCAAUCCUUGAAGGAGUUGACUCUAUUUUGAGGUUGGCAUUAUGAUAUACACACGAUGUUCAAUAUACUCUUCUUCUCCCUUUCUUCCUCUUCCUCGCGUUACAGAUUCAACAUCUCGGAGCUCACUUGCUCCUUCAUGUGAUGAAUAUUGAGAUCUUCUACUUAGCGGAGUCACAUUGAAGGCAUCAUCUCAGCACCCCUUUCUUUUCUAGUGUAAUGAGGCCCUAAAUAGAUGUCCCUGGACCUGGUUCUGCUGCUUUUAGAGAUAAAGAGAAGAUGUAAUACUUCACUCUGAGCCAUUUAGUACAAAAACUAGCAAAAAGGGUUGAUUUGUUUUUGUCGUAGAUCGACAAAGGAAAAACUGAAAAUCAGUUGUCACUCCUACUGGAUCAUAAAAGGGAACGAUGGUCUAUGGUUCAACAUUUUGCACCUUGACAAGCUUUUAAUUACCUUUUGAAGAAAGAUCAAAUACUAAAAUAAGAAAACAGAAUUAGCGAACUUCGAGAUUUCAAAUUUCAUCCUAUGUGUAAGGAGCAAAAACUGACUCACUUGAUAUGUGUAGAAGUCCUGAUGAUUUUCUGUAAAGGCGAUAUAAGGUCCAUCCAGAGAGUUAGAGAAGCCUUGGAGCACUUUAGUGAUACCACUGGUUUAAUGACUAAUGUGGAGAAAUACAAUAUUUUUCUAGCCGGGAUCAGUGAUGAGCUAAAGAAGGAGAUACUUGACAUGACAGGAUACUCUCAAAGAAAUGGGGCAAGAUGGAAUGCCACCAACUUGUGGAGAAGAUUACAGAUAUGGUGACUAAUACUUAUGCUAGGAAGCUCUCUUAUGCAGGAAGAUCACAAAUAGUCAAUGUUGUCUUCUUUUCAAUAUUUAACUUUUGGGGUGCAGUUGUUAUCUUACCUCAAAGUGUACGCAAGGCAGUUGAUAGAAAAUGCAAAGAUUUUGUAUGAGGAAGUACUGCAGAUCAGAAAAAGUCACCUUUUGUUGCUUGGGAUUAGUGUGCCUCCCAAAGAAAUUUGGGGGACUAAAUGUUAAGGGAUGUAGGAAAUGGAAUGAAGCUUCAGUUGGCAACUAUUGUUGGGUUUUAAACUUCUUUAAUGGUUAAUCCGUUUUAUCUUGAGAGGAAUUAAUCUACAACCUCGGGUACUUGAUGGGAUUAAAUUUCUUAAGGAUACACAGUGAGUUCUAUGGACUCAGAUUGUUCUUUUCUUUUUCUUUUUAUUUUUUAUUAUUUCUAGUUUGUUAAUCUAAAUACAGGAAAUAACAACUAUGACAGGUUUCAGAGAAGCAAGACAUUCUCUGGGUAAAAUGGGUGCAUGGAGUGUACAUAAAGCAACACGGCAAUAUCCAGGGUGGAGCCACCUUAUAAUAGGGGGUUCAUCCAAACCCCCUUCGGUGGAAAAUUAUCUUAUUUAUACAUGGUAAAAAUAUUUUUUUAUGUAUAUAUAGUCGAUGUUGAACCCCCUUCGGCUACUUUGUCUGUUUAUUUCUACAGAUUUGAACCCCCUUAUUAAAAAUACUGGCUCCACCACUGUCUAGGAUCACUGAUAUUGGUCUCUUAGUCUCAAGUUUCCAUUCAUUUUGAUAAAGAUAUUAAGUUCAGAGGGAAAGAUUUGCAACUACAACACACAGUUGCUAUCCCCCCAAGUUGAUGGUUUAGAUUUAGAUCUAGAUAUAGAGUCGCCUGAGGAGCCGCCAAUGCUUGUGGAUGCUUUGCUAUGGAGUUGUCAUCCGAUGAGACUUAACCUGCAAUCAAAAAGUGAAAUGGUUACAUGCUUUAUGUAACACUUGAUGUAUAUGAUGAAUUUGAGUCAGUCUACUUCUCAUGGAAGUAAGCCUAAGCAUAGUCAACAGGCAAUGACUCCAUUUCCUUCCAACACACAGUUGCCAUACACAACCACUUUGAAAGUCCUCACGGGCCAGUUCAUUUGUGAGAUCGAUGAUAUGAGGAAUAGCCACAACCUAGUCCCUCAAAAGAGUUUGAAGAUAGACAAAAUCCUGCUCACUAAGGCAGACUAAGAGAAAAUAAAGAAGAGCAAUACUGUCUAGCAUAAUGGAAUAAGUUUUCAAAAAAACAGGUGCACUAUCAAGAUUAAUAGCCAUCUGGAUGCCACCAAAUCAGAACAUCUGAUCUGUGAACAGGUCAUCAGUAUCAAAAAUGCCUUCAUCAUCAACGGGGGUGUUAGAUGAGGGGGCAAAGGGAUGUAAAUAAGGAGGAGCCGCCUCUACAGCUGCAUAACUGGAAGUUGGUGCUUUCCCAACAUCAAAAAUGGAACUAAUAUCAUUGUCUACAUCCAUGGGCUCAGCGAGUAAUGCUUCUAGAUCACUCCCAAUUCUAGUGAUGGGAUGACUGUAAGUUCCACUUCUAGCAGCAGUAACAUCCUCCUGCUCCAUCAUUAGGUCAUCAAUGCCUGAAAAGAACUCAACAUUUACAUCAGGAAUCAGACUAUUUAUUCCAUUGAUAAAUGCAGCAUUAUGGCCUGAGGACUCACCUUCAGCAACUGUUAUCAUCUGCUGCUCAGCAUUGGUACUUUCUUGAGGCAACAUGCUCUCAUUACUAGUGUUUGGCACUACUUGUGAUCCUCCACAAGCUGGCCCAAUCAUAUCCUCGGUGUUUGGAACUUGGGAAGUUCCAGCAGCUUCAGCAUCCACACUGGUAAUAUCAAGAAUGCUUGCUCUUCUAUUCCCUUUGUUGGCAGCUUCGAGGCGCUUGUAAAAUUUCUGGGCAUGGCUCGCCACCUGCAUUCCAGUUCUUGUAAUCACACAGUGCCUAGAUAUACUUCUCCAGUCACCUCUUCCAUAUAUAGCUAAGCCCCGGAGAAAUGACCUAUAGCAGGAAAGAUAGAGAAAUAAGUUAAUAUCAGCUUUGAAGUUAUAAUCCAGGAAACAAGAUUGCAGGACAGCAAAAAUUUUACUUUUACUCAGCUAACCACACACUACAUCUUAUAAAGCCCAGAGGCAAAUAGGUAUGAUUCUAUAGAUAUAUUUAUUGCCUUCAGCAUGCACUGUGUAAAAUCACAGACAACACCCCCACCCCCACCCCCACCCCAAAAAUAAAAUCACCAUUCGUAUUUUCUUUUCCCAAAAAGAGGAAGGGACUUAAAUUCAUGGGAUAACAAAUGUCCUCCUUUGGAUAUGUGACUCCCAACAUUUGCUGAAUUUUCCAAUGCCCACUUUUUUUCGCCUCAUUGGUAUAUGCACUCACUUCAAGUAUAUGUGCUAUUGUUUUUAUUGCUAAUCACUUCAACUAUAUGUGUUUUUUAGCUUCUCAAACUGAAAUAGGAUAUCAAACAGAAAGUGAGAAAUAUCAAGAAAACAAGAAGAAGAAUUCUACAGGAAACCCACCUAUGUUCCUGUUCUGUCCAAGGAGUCCCUCUUCGCCUUUCGACGUCUGCUUUCAAAUUUUGGUUGGCAUUGCUUUGCAUUUCCGGAUAAUUAUGUAAUGGAACGCAUCCAGAAUCGAUGGCAUUGAUAUCUUCUAAGAGUAUAUUAUAGUGAUCCUUGAUGUCCUGAAGUGAUUUUUGAGGAAGUGCUUCUUCCAUCAUCCUCAAUAGAUUGUUUUUGUUGAAGUAGAUCGCUAGGGUGUUCUCAAAGAUUUUAUCCUCUUCCCUAGUCCAAAAGGAGCUAUUGCAUGUCCUAUCGGUGCUCAUUUUCUUUUAGAUCUACAAGGGAAGGCUCAAGCAUGAAAAAGGGAAGUUCGGAUUCAGAAAACGGUUGAGUGUCAAUAUAUGACAAACAACCAUAACUACCAGGCAUCUAUAAUAAGAUUUUUUGUAACCCCUGACAAUUAGUAAACAGAAACAAUCGCAGCAAUACAUGUAUUCUAUUAAAUCAGUUAUAAAUACUAAGAGAAGUAAUAAGUGACCGGAAAAACGAACAAACAUGAAGAUACAAUUGGUAUACUACCCACAGAAGUCCCCAGAGAUACGAGCAUUUUAUAAAAGCAUCUACGUUCUUUACCUUUUCUAUCGGAUGGAAGGUUUUAUAAUAAGAAAGAAAGUACAAAGAAGAAAAACUAUGUCUCAAGAUAAGAAAAAAUUAUACCACUGAAGUAUAUAUUUUUGUUCUUGUUAGUGACGCAAAAAAAAAAAUUGUGGCCUUGUACCACAUAACGGGAAAGAAAUUAUGUCAAUCCAACAUUAUAUUAUCAAAAGAAAAGGAAAAACCUAGAUUGUCUUGUAACACAAACUAACCACUUAAAACUAGGGAACGUGCAAAGACAAAUUGUGAUAUCCAGGACAAGAAAUCAAAAGGAAAGCUAAAAAAUUCUUAUUUUUCCUUUUUGAGAAACACGCAAAUCUCUACACAUUAACUUUCAACAACAGAAAGCAUGUUAAAGAAGAGUCCUUAGAAAAUGCUGACACAAUUUUUCUCUCAUGAGUCAUGAGAUAGAAACAAGAUGAAUCUCAUGACAUUCAAAUAGGUGAGUAUCACUUCACAUCUCUUCAGAAUCUACCCCAAAACCAAUAUAUAAUCAACCAUCUGUGAUUGUAUGUACAUUCUCUUGUGCCAUUAUUACCUUUAUACAUCAUGAAAUAGCAAAUUAUUGUUCAUUUUGAAUGGAAGAUUUACGGAACCAACAACAACAAAAUACCGAUGUAAUCCCACAAGUCAGGUUUGGAAGAUUUAACUUUGUACGUAGAGCACAGAGACUAUUUCCAAUACACACUCGGCUCAAGGAAAAACAUACCAAAGCAGAUCGAAUAAGGGAAGAUUUACAAAACCAACAACAUACCAGAGUGAAAUUCCACAAGUAAGAUCUUGGGAGGAUAGUGUGUAUGUAGAGACCUUACCUCUACCUUAAGAGGUAGAGAUGCCAUUUUUUAUUGACACUCGACUCAAGGAAAAGCAUAGUAAAGAAGAUCGAAAAAGGAAAGAUUUACAAAAGCAUGACAAAAAAUCGAAAAUGGAAAGCCAUAAAAGAUCUUACUUCAAAGAAAUAAUCAUAUCUCUAAAAGUUAACUUUCAUAAACACAAAGCAUGUUAAAGAAGAGUACCAAAAAACGCCGACGCAACUAGCAGAACCUAAUGAUCACAAACCACAAUCAAAGCAAACUUCUGAGUGAUCGAUCUAUAGUGAUAAGUUGUAUUACCUAUGAAAACAUGCAUUCAACCAUAAGGGAAUCUCACAUACAC